rnacentral:lncRNA from 1 species
AGAGAGGCGACGGGAUCCACAAGGUUGAAGAGGAGCACUCUGGCUGCUGUGGGGCAUUCGCCGAAGGGGUAGGGGUAGGGAGACCAGGGAGAAGGCGACUGCGUAUAUCUGAUGAGAGGACAGCAGUGGGACCAGAACUACAGCAGUGGAGAUGCUGAGAAGCUUCCCAGCAGCAAGCACCAGCCUUCCACGGCAACACGGUGUCUUCGUGCAGCU